rnacentral:rRNA from 1 species
GAGCUCAGAGACAGGUGCUGCAUGGCUGUCGUCAGCUCGUGUCGUGAGAUGUUGGGUUAAGUCCCGUAACGAGCGCAACCCUUAUCCCUUGUUGCUACAGGUAAGCUUGAGUACUCGAGGGAGACUGCCAGUGAUAAGCUGGAGGAAGGGGAGGAUGAUGUCAAGUCAUCAUGGCCUUUAUGGGUAGGGCAACACACGUGCUACAAUGGGGUAUACAAUGAGUCGCCAACCCGCGAGGGGGAGCUAAUCUUCAAAAUAUCUCGUAGUCCGGAUUGGAGUCUGCAACUCGACUCCAUGAAGCUGGAAUCGCUAGUAAUCGCAAAUCAGCACGUUGCGGUGAAUACGUUCUCGGGCCUUGUACACACCGCCCGUCACACCAUGGGAGUGGGUUUUACCAGACGCCAGUCGACUAACCGUAAGGAGGUCGCUGU